CCAUCGUGUGUCCUUUUAGCACAACAUCAACAGGCUCUCUUCCCUACUGGGGCUUAUGACCUUGCCACCCUCAAGCCAAUCAGAAAGGACUUAGUUACCUCCGUAAAAGACAUACAGCUAUUGCACAAGUGGGCCACAGCUUGCAGGGCAGGUUGAUAGUGUAGCGUGAAAAAUCCAUGACUGAAUAAAACGAUUGAAUUUUCUCUCCCAGCAGCUCAUGAAGCUCCUUCCUGCACUAUGUGGGCUGGCCACCAGGAGGAAGCCCCCAGCUUAGUCCCAGCUUGAUUUCUCUGUAUCCUACAAGACAGUGUUUCAGUGGGAGGAGUUGAUUCCCAAGGAAGCCCUGUCGUGCUGAGAGAAAAGCCAAGUUCUGAGCAGUGAGGACACUUUCUGCUUUCAUUCCUAUUUUGAAGGAGGUGAUGCGAGAAACAAGAAACAUCUUUGCUCAUGCUGAUGCAGCAAAUCUGGUAAAAGGUUUAUACCAGAAACUACAUCUGGCUUCGGACACUCCCACUCAUGUAUAGGAAAUGUCGGGGAAACUACUUCCAUGAAUUCUCAC
rnacentral:lncRNA from 1 species